rnacentral:rRNA from 1 species
GAUUAAGUUAUUAAGGGCGCACGGUGGAUGCCUUGGCACUAGAAGCCGAUGAAGGACGUUACUAACGACGAUAUGCUUUGGGGAGCUGUAAGUAAGCUUUGAUCCAGAGAUUUCCGAAUGGGGAAACCCAGCAUGAGUUAUGUCAUGUUAUCGAUAUGUGAAUACAUAGCAUAUCAGAAGGCACACCCGGAGAACUGAAACAUCUUAGUACCCGGAGGAAGAGAAAGAAAAUUCGAUUCCCUUAGUAGCGGCGAGCGAAACGGGAAGAGCCCAAACCAACAAGCUUGCUUGUUGGGGUUGUAGGACACUCUAUACGGAGUUACAAAGGACGACAUUAGACGAAUCAUCUGGAAAGAUGAAUCAAAGAAGGUAAUAAUCCUGUAGUCGAAAAUGUUGUCUCUCUUGAGUGGAUCCUGAGUAUGACGGAGCACGUGAAAUUCCGUCGGAAUCUGGGAGGACCAUCUCCUAAGGCUAAAUACUCUCUAGUGACCGAUAGUGAACCAGUACCGUGAGGGAAAGGUGAAAAGCACCCCGGAAGGGGAGUGAAAUAGAACCUGAAACCGUGUGCUUACAAGUAGUCAGAGCCCGUUAAUGGGUGAUGGCGUGCCUUUUGUAGAAUGAACCGGCGAGUUACGAUUUGAUGCAAGGUUAAGCAGUAAAUGUGGAGCCGUAGCGAAAGCGAGUCUGAAUAGGGCGUUUAGUAUUUGGUCGUAGACCCGAAACCAGGUGAUCUACCCUUGGUCAGGUUGAAGUUCAGGUAACACUGAAUGGAGGACCGAACCGACUUACGUUGAAAAGUGAGCGGAUGAACUGAGGGUAGCGGAGAAAUUCCAAUCGAACCUGGAGAUAGCUGGUUCUCUCCGAAAUAGCUUUAGGGCUAGCCUCAAGUGAUGAUUAUUGGAGGUAGAGCACUGUUUGGACGAGGGGCCCCUCUCGGGUUACCGAAUUCAGACAAACUCCGAAUGCCAAUUAAUUUAACUUGGGAGUCAGAACAUGGGUGAUAAGGUCCAUGUUCGAAAGGGAAACAGCCCAGACCACCAGCUAAGGUCCCAAAAUAUAUGUUAAGUGGAAAAGGAUGUGGCGUUGCCCAGACAACUAGGAUGUUGGCUUAGAAGCAGCCAUCAUUUAAAGAGUGCGUAAUAGCUCACUAGUCGAGUGACACUGCGCCGAAAAUGUACCGGGGCUAAACAUAUUACCGAAGCUGUGGAUUGUCCUUUGGACAAUGGUAGGAGAGCGUUCUAAGGGCGUUGAAGCAUGAUCGUAAGGACAUGUGGAGCGCUUAGAAGUGAGAAUGCCGGUGUGAGUAGCGAAAGACGGGUGAGAAUCCCGUCCACCGAUUGACUAAGGUUUCCAGAGGAAGGCUCGUCCGCUCUGGGUUAGUCGGGUCCUAAGCUGAGGCCGACAGGCGUAGGCGAUGGAUAACAGGUUGAUAUUCCUGUACCACCUAUAAUCGUUUUAAUCGAUGGGGGGACGCAGUAGGAUAGGCGAAGCGUGCGAUUGGAUUGCACGUCUAAGCAGUAAGGCUGAGUAUUAGGCAAAUCCGGUACUCGUUAAGGCUGAGCUGUGAUGGGGAGAAGACAUUGUGUCUUCGAGUCGUUGAUUUCACACUGCCGAGAAAAGCCUCUAGAUAGAAAAUAGGUGCCCGUACCGCAAACCGACACAGGUAGUCAAGAUGAGAAUUCUAAGGUGAGCGAGCGAACUCUCGUUAAGGAACUCGGCAAAAUGACCCCGUAACUUCGGGAGAAGGGGUGCUCUUUAGGGUUAACGCCCAGAAGAGCCGCAGUGAAUAGGCCCAAGCGACUGUUUAUCAAAAACACAGGUCUCUGCUAAACCGUAAGGUGAUGUAUAGGGGCUGACGCCUGCCCGGUGCUGGAAGGUUAAGAGGAGUGGUUAGCUUUUGCGAAGCUACGAAUCGAAGCCCCAGUAAACGGCGGCCGUAACUAUAACGGUCCUAAGGUAGCGAAAUUCCUUGUCGGGUAAGUUCCGACCCGCACGAAAGGCGUAACGAUUUGGGCACUGUCUCAACGAGAGACUCGGUGAAAUCAUAGUACCUGUGAAGAUGCAGGUUACCCGCGACAGGACGGAAAGACCCCGUGGAGCUUUACUGUAGCCUGAUAUUGAAAUUCGGCACAGCUUGUACAGGAUAGGUAGGAGCCUUUGAAACGUGAGCGCUAGCUUACGUGGAGGCGCUGGUGGGAUACUACCCUAGCUGUGUUGGCUUUCUAACCCGCACCACUUAUCGUGGUGGGAGACAGUGUCAGGCGGGCAGUUUGACUGGGGCGGUCGCCUCCUAAAAGGUAACGGAGGCGCUCAAAGGUUCCCUCAGAAUGGUUGGAAAUCAUUCAUAGAGUGUAAAGGCAUAAGGGAGCUUGACUGCGAGACCUACAAGUCGAGCAGGGUCGAAAGACGGACUUAGUGAUCCGGUGGUUCCGCAUGGAAGGGCCAUCGCUCAACGGAUAAAAGCUACCCCGGGGAUAACAGGCUUAUCUCCCCCAAGAGUUCACAUCGACGGGGAGGUUUGGCACCUCGAUGUCGGCUCAUCGCAUCCUGGGGCUGUAGUCGGUCCCAAGGGUUGGGCUGUUCGCCCAUUAAAGCGGUACGCGAGCUGGGUUCAGAACGUCGUGAGACAGUUCGGUCCCUAUCCGUCGUGGGCGUAGGAAAUUUGAGAGGAGCUGUCCUUAGUACGAGAGGACCGGGAUGGACAUACCUCUGGUGUACCAGUUGUCGUGCCAACGGCAUAGCUGGGUAGCUAUGUGUGGACGGGAUAAGUGCUGAAAGCAUCUAAGCAUGAAGCCCCCCUCAAGAUGAGAUUUCCCAACUUCGGUUAUAAGAUCCCUCAAAGAUGAUGAGGUUAAUAGGUUCGAGGUGGAAGCAUGGUGACAUGUGGAGCUGACGAAUACUAAUCGAUCGAAGACUUAAUCAA